UAGCCAUAAUUAAUGGUCUUGCCUUUC
rnacentral:piRNA from 1 species